rnacentral:tRNA from 1 species
GGGAAUGUGGCUUAGUGGUAGAGUGCUUGCCUGGCAUGCAUGGAGCCCUGGGUUCGAUUCCUCAGUACUG